UGGGGGAGUAUUGCACAAUGGGGGAAACCCGUGAUGCAGCGACGCCGCGUGGGUGAAGAAGCGCCUCGGCGCGUAAAGCCCUGUCAGCAGGGAAGAAAAUGACGGUACCUGAAGAAGAAGCCCCGGCUAACUACGUGCCAGCAGCCG
rnacentral:rRNA from 1 species